UGCUCUGAACACCCAGGCCAGUGGACCUUAACAGAUGGAGAAGUAUUGGUGGAGCUGCAGAAGUAACAGUCUCUCAGCUGUCUUCUUUCCUUGUACUGAUGCUGCAAACAACACAUCAGAUCCUGAAUCUCAGCUUUAAGACUCUCCAUCAACAACUCAGAAGAGCCCAGAAAAUCCACUUUGAUCACAGCGGCAUUCAGCACUUAGCUGAGUCAGAACAUAGGUCCUUCUCUUUGUCCUGCUUCUGACACCAAUGUAACACUGAAGCCAGCAGUUGGAUCUGAUCGAAUUUCUGCGUCAUGCAGCAUUAAAACCUCAAUUAUUUCUUGGGCAAACCUCAGCGUGCCAUUGAUGCACUUCCCUGAUGUCUGAUCUCCCCACGUCUCAGUCUCUUGGCAACUGAUCACGUCUCCUCAUCUGACCACCUCUCCCCACCACCCUCUAGCAGAUUCCUUACCUGGAACUGGGUGCCUGAUCCUCCUAAUAUG